UUUUAAUGUCGGGGCGGAGAGGAGGCGCGCGACUGAGUGACUUUAGAACGCACUUAAACAGAAACGAGAUGCUUUCAUUUCAAUUCAUGAAACAAGUCAGGAGAGAAAAUUUCAUCUCAACAAUUUCUCAUACUGCUCUCAUAUUUGGCAAGAAGAAUCUGUGAACUCACUUCAUUCAACUCAUCUCCGUCUACUAUACUUAGCUAUCACGAACGAUGACAACCAUAACACUUAAAGUUGUCAGCUGGCUCUUCUUCAAAUGAUCUUUAAACAGCUGCCUUCCUGUCAAUUCCGUGGAACUUCUGUAGAUGUUUGGACUCUCGCUCUGACGGCACCCAUUCACUGCAGAGGAACCGUUCGAGAGCAAGUCAAGUGAUGCUAAAUUUCUCCAAAUCUGUUCAGAUGAAGAACUCAUCUAUAUCUCGGAUGGCCUGAGGGUGUCCUGGUAACAGGUCGCCUGACUGCAGCUGUCAGAUGAUGAUGGUGAGAUGAUGGUGAUCGUGACCUAUGACCAGGCGUGAGCCAGGGAGGAUUCUGGGAAAUGGAGUCCUUAAAGUGACUUACACACAGGUCAUGCCAUAUGUACCACAUGUGCUCUUUAAAAGGCAACAUGGCCUAGUUCGUCCUCGCUGUAAAUAAACUGACCUCACCUUCAGCACAGCAUUCACCCUCAGAAGCAACAAACAGUGCCAUUAGACUGGGGUUAAUUGAGAGGGUGAGCCGUGGCCAGAUCGUUCCUGAAAAGAGCACACAAAUGCUGCUUUCUGCAAAUGGGCCAGAUUGAACCCUGGGGCUUUAGUGUCCCCUGCUGCAGACAGAGAGGUGGGAGGGGAGCAUCUCUUUAAAGAAACCAAAAAUUCAUCAUUUUUUUGCUGAAUGAAAAGAGUUAAACACAACUCAAGCAAAAUCUAAAUAUCCCAAAAGUCACAGUAUGUGUUCCAGGAGUUACAUCGAGACCAGGGGGGCCAUGCCAAUCAAAAAGAAAGGAAGAAAGGAAGUAAUAUGGGGCAAGAGAUGGUGAGAUGAAGCGAAAGAUUCCAUCUUUCCCUGGAGCGAGUGAGACGGAGACACAGAUGUCAGUGAACACAAAGUCCCAGGAGACUGUUUGGGGCAGAAGCUCCACUUUCCAACAUCUCACACACUAUUUAGACACAGUUUUUACUUCUUUAAUUGGGUCCAUAUAUAGUGACAUAAUGCACAUAAGUGCCUGAACACCCUGCGGAGCUGCUCCGAGACUGAAGGAAUGCAAGCAACCAGAUGGGACUUCACGAUGGUCCUGUUUGAUCAGGAAACUUCUCAUCUACUUCUAGCCAACCUGUAUAAAUUAUGUAGCUCAAACAGUACAUAUCGCAUCAGCAUGGAAAGAAGAUAUUAAAUGUGAAAGAAGCUUCAAUUAUGAAAAGAGAGUACAGCCACUUCAGAUUGACUGCAGUGUCCAUCAAAACUCUGUCCUUCAGAAAACAAGCAUGAUAAGCAGUUCUGUAGCCGAGACAUCAGUUACAGAGGAUUCAAAGCAGUGAGAUGUUUUGACUCAUGAAUUUAUGACUCAAAGUCGACAUUCAGUAAAAGUUUUUUGUUGUUUUUGACAUUGAAGCAUUGGUUUGAAGAACAUAUCUUGGCAAAAUGCAAUUAAAUAUGUGAAUAUAAUUUUUCUUCUACGUUUAAAGUUGUAUUACUGUGCACAAUU